AAGUUGAUCCAGCCAUCCCGCGUGCAGGACGAAGGCCCUAUGGGUUGUAAACUCCUUUUCCUUGGGAAGAAAUGUAUUCUGCCAAGAGUAUUUGCCGGUACCACUACGGAUAAGCACCCGCUAACUCCGCGCCAGCAGCCGCGGUAAUACGGAGGGUCGCAAGCGUUAUCCGGACUCACUGGGUCUUAAAGGGUGCGUAGGGCGGCCACCAUAAGUCAGAGGUGAAAGCUUCCCGCUCAACCGGGAGACUGCCUUUGAUACUGUUUAGCUUGAACUCACGUUGAGGGUGGCGGAAUGUGACAUGUAGCGGUGAAACUGCAUAGAUAUGUCAUAGAACACUCGAUUACGAAGGGCAGCUGGCUGCUCUCUGUAUUGACGCUGAGGCACGAAAGCGUGGGCCAGCAAACAGGAUUAGAUACCCUGGUAGUCCACGCCCUAAACGAUGUUUACUCGCACAUGGGGAUCUACGGRUUCUGUGUCCAAGCGAAAGCGUGAAGUAAACCACC
rnacentral:rRNA from 1 species